GAGCCCCUGCCGUGUGCGUGAUCGGCAAAAAUCCCUUGCUCCAACAUUUUAUCGAAAGGGAGCCGGUAUCCAGUACUCUGUGUGCAAGUUCCGCAAUGUACGGAAAAGCCUAAUGAUGUUGGGAGGCUCCCACCUGUGCAAAACAGGUUCAAGGAUUUUGCCGAACACGGCAAUGUGCGGGGGCUUU
rfam:Desulfatibacillum alkenivorans AK-01, complete genome.